GAUGAACGCUGGCGGCAUGCCUAAUACAUGCAAGCCGAACGAGAGGAAGGAAAGCUUGCUUUUCUGAAUCUAGUGGCGAACGGGUGAGUAACACGUAGGUAACCUGUCCAUGUGCCCGGGAUAACUUCUGGAAACGGAUGCUAAAACCGGAUAGGUAGCAGACAAGCAUUUGACUGCUAUUAAAGUGGCUAAGGCCAUGAACAUGGAUGGACCUGCGGUGCAUUAGCUAGUUGGUGAGGUAACGGCCCACCAAGGCGACGAUGCAUAGCCGGCCUGAGAGGGCGGACGGCCACAUUGGGACUGAGACACGGCCCAAACUCCUACGGGAGGCAGCAGUAGGGAAUUUUCGUCAAUGGGGGGAACCCUGAACGAGCAAUGCCGCGUGAGUGAGGAAGGUCUUCGGAUCGUAAAGCUCUGUUGUAAGAGAAAAACGACAUUCAUAGGGAAUGAUGAGUGAGUGAUGGUAUCUUACCAGAAAGUCACGGCUAACUACGUGCCAGCCGCCGCUGUAA
rnacentral:rRNA from 1 species